UCUUCUCUCUUUUGAGUAUUGAUUGCCAUCUAGUCCUGAUUACAGAGUUAAGCUCCAGUCUCAAUCCUAUAUUGCUGAAGCAGGUGAUCGAGGUCUUCAGGAUCACCACACACUUCAGACAGGUGUGUGGACAGACUGCAGAUAAACUCGGCAGGACGCUGGUCUUCCAAGACAUCACUGUUUUUUGUGUCAGAUGCAGAUAAAGAGUCACUAGGAACAGGUCACUGCAUCUUUUUGUAAUGUAGAUGCUGGAAUAAAAAGCAGCCAUGCUACAGCAUCUAAAAUGGAGACUUAUAUUAAAGUGGCUCUGUAACAUAAGAGACUUGGGACGGUGGAAGGAGCAGAAGAUCAGAGAUCAGGCAGAGCUCUACUGGUGCCCCUUAGGGGAUCGAUUUAUCUAUAAUUAUCUAUAAUAUCUACUUAAUGUUCUAAUGAAGUUAAAAUUGUUCAUUAUUCUGUUUUAUAAAUCUUUACAAUAUAUUCUAGUGUUCAAUAGUUUGGGGUCAGAAAGUUUUUUUUUUUUCUUUAAGAUAUUACUUGUAUUCAGCAAGGGUGCAUUAAACUGAUAAAAAGCAACAGUAAAAACUUUUACAUUGUUGGACAAAAAUCCUAUAAAAAGAAAUAAAAAAUGCUGCUCUUUUAAAACCUCUAAAGUAACCUGAAAAAACAUAUUAAUGUAACCAAAAAUGGAGCAGGACAACUGUUUUUGAGAUGCUAAAAAAUAAAAAUAAAAAGUUUAUUGAGCACCAAAACAGAAUAUUUUAAUAAUUUCUUUUGGAUUGUAUGACACAGAAGACGAGUAAUGGCUGCUGAAAAUUAAACAUCAUAGUAAAACAGUAUUUUUUCCCCCAGUUAUUUAUAAUUGUAAUAUUUCAUAAUGUUACUGCUUUAACUGUAUUUCUCAUCAAAUAAAUGUUUUGGUGAGCAUAAGAGACUUGUUUCAAAAACAUUUACAAAUCUUACCUAUCCUAAACUUUUUUAAACUGUUUUUCUUCAUUUAUUACAUGGCCGUGAAUAAAUCUAAGUAUUUGAAA